GCCCAUCACUGAUGCGCUCUCACGCAUAUACACGCACGCGGACUAAAAUGCUACACGCCCCCUCCGUCCAUAGGAUCACAUUUUCUGGGAUCUCAUGGACGCAUGAACUUUAGGCAAAGCAAGCCCGAUUUUGGAAAACAUUAGCUCGCGGUGACACAACACAAGAUCACACAUUUGUACUGAUAGCCGUGCAGAGGAGACGCUCACAGACACAGCAACUCUACAGACAUGUCGGACUCAGAGACCACCGCUCCCGCCGAGGCCCCUGUCCCUGCUGCAUGUGUAACCAUCAAGGCAGACCUGGACAAAUGUGUGAAGGAGGGCGGUGACUGUAAGGACCUGAUGGAGGCGUUUGCAGCCUGUGUGAAAAGUGCAGCGGAGGCGUCGUGAGGAUUGGAGGAAGUCAACUUAAAGGAAAUGUCCACUGCACUGAGUCCUCCACGUUUUCCAGCAUUCCCUUCUGCACAACAAGCACUGGACUGAGUGACACUAGUGUGGUUCGGUGCCUGGCAGAAUCUAUCAAUGUAUCUCCAUCCCACUAACCCUAACCCCUACAACCCCCCCCUGUGAAGCAUAGAAUGCGUCUUCCGAUUUGUACCCUCUGUUCCCUCCAUGGCUGAUAACAUCCAUUUGCAGACACAUCCGGAGAGCCUAUGGGUUUUAUGUCAAUUUAUGUCCACUAGAGAUGCAUAUACAUUUAAAUGGAGUAAUAAAGUCAAAUGUUGGUAUAACACCUGGCCUACUUUACUUUUGUCAACAUUUGUAAAAUCAACUUGGAGGGGUGUUGCUCUAAAAUACGUUUACCCUUUUAGAUCAUAAUGGUUUAGGGCGAAAGAUCCUGGAUCAGGACUAGCCAGGGAUGGUUAAUAAAUACAGGUUUAGACUGUAUUAAUGAAGUGGAUGUGUCUGAUUUAAAGAUGUCAUGAACCUCACUUCACAAGCUUACCUGUUAAGAUGCAACUCAUUCCUUAAUCCAAAAGUUGAAACUGGGAUUAUUCUCACUAAUGCUUUAGAAGCUCCAGGAGAAGGGCGAUUGUGAUUAGCUCUUUAAUCUAGUUACCCCGUAAUGUAAUCCAAAUUGGAUACGCUUUUAUUCUUUAAAUCCAUGGUCACGCUGGCCUGAACACCAGAGACUCAAUUCAGAUGACCAAAUGAGAGCUUGUCCCCUAUACUUGUUCAUUUUGAUGUAUAGACUAUGUGACUGCAGUACGCCAUUGAAAACAUUUGUUCAAAACCAAGUUUCCGGCUUAUUCUAGUUGCCUACCUCUCACUUGCAUUUCCAUGUUUAAAAUCCUUAUGUAAUAAAGGACAGUCUUGAAGGAUUGGGACUAGCCCAGAAAGGCAUUACAAAAGAUCAAGUGUGUACAUUUUUGUCCUGCAGGCCAAUCAAGGGGGCUUCUGGCAUGACACCUUCAUUUUGUGGUAUCUGUGAAAAGAAUGCAAUGCUAAUCAGGAGCUGUAUUGAACUGCCAAAACAUACCUCCUGGGGCUCAGGAAUCAGACCGCUGACACCAGAGAAACAGAUGGGACUAUGUGUACAGUGUGUGUUUCACAUCUGUGGGCAUGUAGGCACCUGGAGUCCGCCCAGAUGGUAAACCUUAAAGGGUUGGUCUCCAUGUUUUUUGGCCAGUCCCCAUGAGGGAACAUUCAAUUUCUGCCAUAGAUUUAAGUGCAAAUGUACAAUUGGGGUUUCUUUUAGGAUUAGCAGUUACCGGUUAGGCAUGAAAGGUUAUUGAUGUUAAGAGCAGUGGGACCUAGGAGCAUCAUGUAAGCAGAUCACUGCCUCUGGAGGCUUAACUUACCUUGCAGUUUAUGAAAUAGGUCACAGGUUAUUAAAAUCCCAAGUGUGUGAGAUGCAGUGAUGUAUUAGCUAUGCAUUCAGAUUAUCCUGCAUGUGUAAAUAGUCUACUGGGAAAGAAGAUUUCAAUCCUGGUGGUGACGCAGUACUUGAAUGUGUGGAUCGUGUGCAACAACUGUCCUCCUGCCCUUUGUUUCCAUUAAUGCAACAUGUAUCACCAUGUGAAGGAACAGAUAUUGUCUUCCUGUACAAACACACGCACAGGACAAAUAUAAGCACCCCUUUUGACACCCAAAUUUAACCAGGACAGCACUCGAUCCAGACGUUCCGUAACCUCAGGACCCUGGGUCUUCAGUGGGACGCCUAUGCAGCUGCCUGAGUGGAAUUCUGCUGAAGAGGGAGUAUAUAUUUUGGUUCAUCCACAGACUUGUCAGGGACGAUGAAGGGGUGUUACCGGAGGCGUAUGGAAAGUGGAUGGUGAUAAGUGAGGGUGUAGACAGAGUAUGAAGGAGUGGCUGGGGUACAUACCGUUUUACAACGCCUGCUGGUGUACUUUCAUAGAAGUAAUUUUAGCAUGUGGCUUGUUUAAACCAUGGUAGUACACAUGCUAGUGAAGUACCUUAAGUCUUUUUUGUUUAGAAUUUGGG
ensembl:lncRNA